rnacentral:rRNA from 1 species
CCUACGGGCGUCUGCAGUGGGGAAUAUUGGACAAUGGGCGAAAGCCUGAUCCAGCCAUGCCGCGUGUGUGAAGAAGGCCUUCGGGUUGUAAAGCACUUUCAGUGGGGAAGAAAGCCUUGGGGCUAAUACCCUCGAGGAAGGACAUCACCCACAGAAGAAGCACCGGCUAACUCCGUGCCAGCAGCCGCGGUAAUACGGAGGGUGCGAGCGUUAAUCGGAAUUACUGGGCGUAAAGCGCGCGUAGGCGGUCUGAUAAGCCGGUUGUGAAAGCCCCGGGCUCAACCUGGGAACGGCAUCCGGAACUGUCAGGCUAGAGUGCAGGAGAGGAAGGUAGAAUUCCCGGUGUAGCAGUGAAAUGCGUAGAGAUCGGGAGGAAUACCAGUGGCGAAGGCGGCCUUCUGGACUGACACUGACGCUGAGGUGCGAAAGCGUGGGUAGCAAACAGGAUUAGAUACCCGUGUAGUC